GCACUCCUGGGGCGUCUGUAACUCUCUUUGAGAGGAAGGCGCACCUAGAGCGCACACGCUGAUACCCGAAAGAUGGUGAACUAUGCCUGGCCAGGACGAAGCCAGGGGAAACCCUGGUGGAGGUCCGCAGCGAUUCUGACGUGCAAAUCGAUCGUCGGAGCUGGGUAUAGGGGCGAAAGACCAAUCGAACCAUCUAGUAGCUGGUUCCCUCUGAAGUUUCCCUCAGGAUAGCUUGCGCUCGACUAAAGAGUCUCAUCCGGUAGAGCGAAUGAUUAGAGGCCUUGGGGUCGAAACGACCUCAACCUAUUCUCAAACUCCAAAUAGAUGAGAUCUCCGGCUUGCUUGAACUAAAUGAAUUUUUUGAAGCCGGUGCUUUGGAUCAGAGUGCCAAGUGGGCCAAUUUUGGUAAGCAGAACUGGCGCUGUGGGAUGAACCAAACGCGGAGUUAAGGCGCCUCAAUCGACGCUCAUGAGAAACCAUGAAAGGCGUUGGUUGCUUAAGACAGCAG
rnacentral:rRNA from 1 species